GGUCCUAACUGGCUUAACUGGUAGAGCAUGGCACUAACACUGCCAGGGUUAGGGGGUCAAUUCCCACUGGGACCA
rnacentral:tRNA from 1 species